UGAGGAAUAUUGGGCAAUGCUCGCAAGAGUGACCCAGCAACGCCGCGUGAGGGAUGAAAGCCGUAAGGUUGUAAACCUCUUUUGUGGGGGACGAAAAACUCAGGUUUCGCAAGGUACCUGAUUUGACUGUACCCUAAGAAGAAGCCCCGGCUAACUACGUGCCAGCAGCCGCGGUAAUACGUAGGGGGCAAGCGUUGUCCGGAUUUACUGGGUGUAAAGGGCGCGUAGGCGGAUUUGUAAGUCAGUGGUGAAAGCCCGCAGCUUAACUGCGGAACUGCCUUUGAUACUGCAAGUCUUGAGUUUGGAAGAGAGAAGCGGAAUUCCAGGUGUAGUGGUGAAAUACGUAGAUAUCUGGAAGAACACCAGUGGCGAAGGCGGCUUCUUGGUCCAUAACUGACGCUGAGGCGCGAAAGCGUGGGUAGCAAACAGGAUUAGAUACCCUGGUAGUCCACGCUGUAAACGAUGAAUACUAGGUGUUGGUCCCUUAGGGAUCAGUGCCGCAGCUAACGCAUUAAGUAUUCCACCUGGGGAGUACGAUCGCAAGGUUGAAACUUAAAGGAAUUGACGGGGUCAUAGCUGUUUCCUG
rnacentral:rRNA from 1 species